CAGCAGGUGGCGCUGUUGAGUCAGUUUAAGGCCGCCAGGACGAUCGCCAUUGUAACACGCAUGUCCUCUAGGGAGAACAGCUGGGAAUUCACUGUGCAGAGGGCUGCAGUUUGGUGCCUGGUGUUCCACAUCCCAACGGUUUGGUACUUCUAUGAGCUCCAGGAGACCAUAUGCACGCUGAAAGAGGAGAACCUCCACCUCCAACACCGGCUGGAGAACAUCUCAUGGGUCAUCAGGGACCUGAAACACCUCCUCCUGGACCACUUUAAAG
ensembl:lncRNA